AUUGAACGCUGGCGGCAGGCUUAACACAUGCAAGUCGAACGGUAACAUAAAGAAGCUUGCUUCUUUGAUGACGAGUGGCGGACGGGUGAGUAAUGCUUGGGAAUCUAGCUUAUGGAGGGGGAUAACUACGGGAAACUGUAGCUAAUACCGCGUAGAAUCGAGAGAUGAAAGUGUGGGACCUUCGGGCCACAUGCCAUAGGAUGAGCCCAAGUGGGAUUAGGUAGUUGGUGAGGUAAAGGCUCACCAAGCCGACGACCCCUAGGGGGUCAGAAAGGAUUUCCACCCACUUUGUUCCUGGGACACCGCCUAGACUCCUGCUGGACGCAACAUUGUGGAAUAUUGCGCUGGGGAGGUGUCCCGUGCUGUGCCGUGUUGCGUGAAGUAGAGGCUGGCUUGGUUGGCUUCUGUCGUGACUGAGAUAGCUUCACUUAAUAGCGUGGUUAUGGCGGUAGACCGGUGGCUUUGGCGGCUGAUCCUCCCUGGGGAUUGGGUGGUUUUGUGACCUGGCUUAAACCAUGGUUAGAUCUGAAUGAUUUGGCGUGGGAUGGUCCGUCCUGCUCGUCAGAUGCGGUGCGGUUGGUGAGUGUUGGUUGUUUUGCUUUGUGUGCUUUUGUAUGGGGGUUGUGGUGUUUGUCUGUUGUUGUGUGGGUUUGCUGUGUGUUUUGUGAUGGUGUGGUCUGUUGUGCAUGCGUGUGAUUGUGUGUGAGACGUGUCGUGUAUAGGUGUGUGUUGUGUGGUGUGGUGCGUUGGUCGGCUCUGUGCCUGUGUGGCUGAUGAUGAUAUGAUUGUGAUGUUUUUUAUGUUUUUAGUUGCUGCGUCUGAAUAUAUAUGC
rnacentral:rRNA from 1 species